GACCCAGACUCCUACGGGAGGCAGCAGUGAGGAAUAUUGGUCAAUGGGCGAGAGCCUGAACCAGCCAAGUCGCGUGAGGGAGUACUGCCCUAUGGGUUGUAAACCUCUUUUGUCGGGGAGCAAAGGCCGGACGUGUCCGGCUGUGAGAGUACCCGAAGAAUAAGCAUCGGCUAACUCCGUGCCAGCAGCCGCGGUAAUACGGAGGAUGCGAGCGUUAUCCGGAUUUAUUGGGUUUAAAGGGUGCGUAGGCGGAUUUUUAAGUCAGCGGUAAAAUGUCCGGGCUCAACCCGGGCCGGCCGUUGAAACUGGGGGCCUUGAGUGGGCGAGAAGAAGGCGGAAUGCGUGGUGUAGCGGUGAAAUGCGUAGAUAUCACGCAGAACCCCGAUUGCGAAGGCAGCCUUCCGGCGCCCUACUGACGCUGAGGCACGAAAGUGCGGGGAUCGAACAGGAUUAGAUACCCUCGUAA
rnacentral:rRNA from 1 species